GUGCUUUGGCAACACAUAUAUUAAUAGUAAAAUUGGAACGAUACAGAGGAGAUUAGCAUGGCCCCUGUGCAAGGAUCAUGAAGCAUUCCAUAUUAAAAAAAAAAAAAUAAAU